UGAGGAAUAUUGGGCAAUGGGCGGAAGCCUGACCCAGCCAUGCCGCGUGCAGGAAGACGGUCCUAUGGAUUGUAAACUGCUUUUAUACGGGAAGAAACACUCCGACGUGUCGGAACUUGACGGUACCGUAAGAAUAAGGAUCGGCUAACUCCGUGCCAGCAGCCGCGGUAAUACGGAGGAUCCAAGCGUUAUCCGGAAUCAUUGGGUUUAAAGGGUCCGUAGGCGGCCUUAUAAGUCAGUGGUGAAAUCUCCUAGCUCAACUAGGAAACUGCCAUUGAUACUGUAGGGCUUGAAUUUUUGUGAAGUAACUAGAAUAUGUAGUGUAGCGGUGAAAUGCUUAGAUAUUACAUGGAAUACCAAUUGCGAAGGCAGGUUACUAACAAACGAUUGACGCUGAUGGACGAAAGCGUGGGGAGCGAACAGGAUUAGAUACCCUGGUAGUCCACGCCGUAAACGAUGGAUACUAGCUGUUCGGAUUUAUCUGAGUGGCUAAGCGAAAGUGAUAAGUAUCCCACCUGGGGAGUACGAACGCAAGUUUG
rnacentral:rRNA from 1 species